AGAACGAACGCUGGCGGCAGGCCUCAAACAUGCAAGUCUAGGGGGUGCAGCAAUGCAUCACCGGCGGACGGGUGCGUAACACGUGGGAAUAUACCUUUCGGUACGGAACAACGCAGGGAAACUUGCGCUAAUACCGUAUACGUCCUUACGGAGAAAGAUUUAUCGCCGAAGGAUUAGCCCGCGUAGGAUUAGCUAGUUGGUGAGGUAAUGGCUCACCAAGGCUCCGAUCCUUAGCUGUUCUGAGAGGAAGAUCAGCCACACUGGGACUGAGACACGGCCCAGACUCCUACGGGAGGCAGCAGUUGGGAAUCUUGGACAAUGGGGGAAACCCUGAUCCAGCCAUGCCGCGUGAGUGAUGAAGGCCUUCGGGUUAGUAAAACUCUUUCGACGGGGACGAUAAUGACGGUACCCGUAGAAGAAGCUCCGGCUAACUUCGCGCCAGCAGCCGC
rnacentral:rRNA from 1 species